GCCGAGGUGGUGAAAUUGGUAGACGCGCAGCCUUGAGGUGGCUGUGACCUAACGGUCGUGCGGGUUCAAGUCCCGCUCUCGGCACCA
rnacentral:tRNA from 10 species